CGCCGUCCCUCAGGAAAAGGGGCGGAGUGUCUGCAGCUGCAGGAGCACGGCCUGGGGGUCCGCGUAGGGUCAAGACGAAAGGCGGUUUGCAGGACCGCGCCUGGGCGCAGAUCCUCUGUCCGUCCGAGGUGGUGGCAGCCCCCGGGCCCGCACACAGCGUGCUGUGCCCCACUCGCGCGCUCUGAAGCUCCCGCUGCCUCUGCCUCUGCUGGCGUGUGCACGCGCGCCUGCGGGCAGCGUUACCCUUCCUCCGGGCCAGCAUCCCCCGGCCUGCGUCAGUGACAGCGUCGGCACAGGACGCUAAAGAAAAGUAACUCAGAUGCCACGUAAGACACCAUAGGAAGCCUGGCGUGGUGGCAGACGCCUGUAAUCCCAGUACCUGGGAGGCUGAGGC